rnacentral:lncRNA from 1 species
UUUUUUUCCUCUAUCAAGCUGCUUCUCAUCUGGGAGCUGGGCCUGGGGACCCUGGAGAAGUUCAAGUAGGGAUUGGCAUGUUUGGUGUUUUGUGGGGAAGAUAGUGCUAGUUUUAUGUAUUUCUCAGGGUUAUAUGUAGUUGCUUUUAAGUUUAGCUUAUUUUGUGACUUGUAACUUCAAAAAGGUGAUUAAUUUCUCAAUCCAGCAAAGUCUAUUCCCCUCAACUUUUCUUUCUGCUUUUUUUUCCCCUAGGCUCAUCCAUUCUUUAGACACAUUAACUGGGAAGAACUUCUGGCUGGAAAGGUGGAGCCCCUCCUUUAAACCUCUGUUGCAAUCUGAAGAGGAUGUAAGUCAGUUUGAUUCCGAGUCUACACAUCAGACACCUGUCGACAGCCCAGAUGACUCAACUCUCAGUGAAAGUGCCAAUCAGGUCUUUCCGAUAAGUGAAAGAAUUUCCACAUAGUCAUGGGAAAUUUUAAGUAUGAGGAUGGGCUCUUGGAUAAGAAAAUUCAGUUUGCCUGCUUUGCAGUUCAUGUAGGUAUCCUGGCCCACUAUUUUUUUUUUUUUUAAAUAAGCCAUGCUUUCGUAACUCAUUGAUACCUACAGAAUUGAUUUUCAUAAGGCAACAUUUUAUUUUAGCAAUUAGAGUGGAAGGUACAAUUUUUGGAGAGUAUGAUUCCCUUUUUAGGUUGGGCCACAGACUUAAAAUGGUGUUUGGCUUAGCAUCUCAACCAAAAAUUAGUCAUAGCAGUGGGGGAGAAAAACCUCACUAACUGCAUGUAUUUUAUUCCUGAAACAGCUGUAGAUUUUUGGUACUUCUUUUUUUUUUUGAGGCAGGGUCUCACCUUGUAGCCCAGGCUGGGUGUAGGGUGUAGUGGUGUGAUCACAGUUCUCUGCAGCCUUGACCUCCCAGGCUCAAGUGACCCACCCAUUUCAGCCUCGUGAGUACCUGGACUACAGGUGUGUGCCACAUCCAGCU